ensembl:lncRNA
UAACAGGACACCGAAACAGCCUGCCCUGGCCAUCAUAUCCCUUCUUUUCCGGGUAGGCUAUACUAGGUUAUUAACUUAUCCUGGAAAUGAUAAUAGUAUAUUAAACAAAUCCCAGUACCACACCAAAAGGAGGCAGCAAAUCAGAGCUAAACAUAUCUAUCUGCGUUUUAUUUCCACAUGUAAGAGAGCAACACAAAACAGGUUUAUAAUAUUUGGAUGUUUUAUUUUCUUUAAAUCAAGCAGGUUACAUUUCAUUCGUUUACACAAUCUGAUAUUUGGAGCCAUUUGCAAAUAUGCUCAAAUUACAUGAUUUGUAAUCAAUCAAAAAAUCAUACAAGAAUGAGGUGGUUAAUGAACAAUAUUGGGAUCAACAGUGAUCACCCUACUAAUGUAGGCAUUACGUAUGCAGGCAGAAAAAGAAAUGUUCCCAUUAAGGUCUCAUGUGAAACACCACAGGUCUGAAAUACUCAGGAACACAUGAAAAUGGCACAAAAAUGAAUUUCACUCUCCAACCUUUUGCUAAAGAGACGUUGACAGGCCCACAGAGAGCCUGGAGCUCACGGGACAACAUUCACACACACAUUCUGCUUCAUGAAGAGGUCAGAUUAUCGUCAGACCAUAGACAUUACAUUCAAGGACACUGAACAUUUGGCGAACAAAGGUUCAAAUAUCCUCCAAAGCACUUCAAGCCCUCAAAGAAUGAAACUCAAAACGCAGAUGAGGUAAAAGAAGAAACUUCUUAAUUAAAGUGGAGCGACCCAGGGACAAGUCUGGUUUGGGUUAAAGAUUAUGGAUGGUUAACUUUGUGUAACGUGUUUGGACAAGCAAGUUUAGGUUUUAGGCAAGGGACUACAGGUAUUAGGCAAGCGAGUUUAGCCAAGCGAGUACAGGCAAGCGAGUCAAGCUAAGCAAGUUAGGUUUUAUGCAAGCAAGUUCAGGUAUUAGGCAAGCGAGUUUAGGCAAGCGAGUUCAGGUAUUAGGCAAGCGAGUUUACGCAAGCAAGUUCAGGUAUUAGGCAAGCGAGUUUAGGCAAGCAAGUUCAGGUAUUAGGCAAGCGAGUUUAGGCAAGCGAGUUUAGGUAUUAGGCAAGCGAGUUUAGGCAAGCAAGUUCAGGUAUUGGGCAAGCGAGUUCAGGUAUUAGGCAAGCGAGUUUAGGCAAGCAAGUUCAGGUAUUAGGCAAGCGAGUUUAGCCAAGCAAGUUCAGGUUUUAUGCAAGCGAGUUUAGGCAAGAGAGUCAAGUUACUUUAGGCCUCACUUUAUUUGAGGUUAAAUUGCGGCAUUAGGUUUAGAAAGAAGGUUAAGAUCCAGGCUCAGGUUUGCUUCCAGCCUCGUCCCUCUAGUCACUCCCUAUAAAGAGGGUUCCCAGCUACCGUGUUAAAAUACAACAGCUGGGAUUACAGAUAUGGAGUACAGAAAUAAAUGACAAAGAUUGAUUCAAACAUUCUUCCCCCAAAAUGUGGUGCAACAUAAUGGAGAAAAUAUUUACUUUCUCUCCAUUGAAACCCAGUCAUAUUUUACGAUCUCACGAGGUCCCGCCGCAAGGGGCGGACUUACAAGCUCUAUAGAGUGUGCACUGUGUGUUAAUGUUGGGUGUGGAUUAAUGUGCUGGUGUAGCCAGGGAUCCUCAGGGUUUAUGGGGAGUAGGACACACUGGUGUAGUUCAGUACUGUGAAGUAAAUUGAUGCAAAAAGUAGAAUCAGUUUCAAGGGCAAUGAAAUGUCUAUAAAUGCAGGAACAGCCCCAUCUGGUCUCAAUCAGCAUUUGAUUUCAUAGACUUAAAUUAGCAAAAAAACAUUUAUUUACCGCAACAGUCCUAGUGCUGGAGAACCAUGUUUCAAAAAAUGUCAAUACGAGCCUCCAGGUGCAUUGGAGUUACUGCAUUUAAUUAACUUUAAUUUAAUUAAGAGCACACUAGUCAGUGGAGAUGUUCACUGAAAAGACUGGUCUUCAGACCUUUAUAAAGAUCAGGAGGGAUUAUAUAAUUGCCGUUUGACGUGUUAGGUCUGUUCAAGGAGGAAGUAAAUAUUUACCAGCGUUGGGUCUCUGCACCAUGACACCCAGCUGCCGCACAUCUGGU